AUUGAACGCUGGCGGCAGGCCUAACACAUGCAAGUCGAGCGGUAACAGAUUGAUAGCUUGCUAUCAAUGCUGACGAGCGGCGGACGGGUGAGUAAUGCCUGGGAAUAUACCCUGAUGUGGGGGAUAACUAUUGGAAACGAUAGCUAAUACCGCAUAAUCUCUUCGGAGCAAAGAGGGGGACCUUCGGGCCUCUCGCGUCAGGAUUAGCCCAGGUGGGAUUAGCUAGUUGGUGGGGUAAUGGCUCACCAAGGCGACGAUCCCUAGCUGGUCUGAGAGGAUGAUCAGCCACACUGGAACUGAGACACGGUCCAGACUCCUACGGGAGGCAGCA
rnacentral:rRNA from 1 species